rnacentral:rRNA from 1 species
UACGAAGGGGGCUAGCGUUGCUCGGAAUCACUGGGCGUAAAGCGCACGUAGGCGGAUUGCUAAGUCAGGGGUGAAAUCCUGGAGCUCAACUCCAGAACUGCCUUUGAUACUGGCGAUCUUGAGUCCGGGAGAGGUGAGUGGAACUGCGAGUGUAGAGGUGAAAUUCGUAGAUAUUCGCAAGAACACCGGUGGCGAAGGCGGCUCACUGGCCCGGUACUGACGCUGAGGUGCGAAAGCGUGGGGAGCAAACAGG